UCCAGGAGGCUCGGGGGCGCCCAGCAGACCCGGGCGCGGCCGGAGGGGUAUCAGGCGGGGCCGGGGUGUUGAGGGGCGGCUGGCAGCCAUGGCGGAGUCGGCGCCUGCUCGGCACAGGAGGAAGCGCCGCUCCACACCUUUGACUUCUUCCACGCUGUCCCCACAAGCAACAGAGAAAAGCUCCUAUUUGCAAACCACGGAGAUCUCACUCUGGACAGUGGUGGCUGCCAUUCAGGCCGUGGAGAAGAAGAUGGAGUCACAGGCCGCCCGGCUACAGAGCCUGGAGGGACGAACAGGGACAGCUGAGAAGAAGCUGGCCGACUGCGAGAAGACGGCCUUGGAGUUGGGGAACCAGCUGGAGGGCAAGUGGGCCGUGCUGGGGACCCUGCUGCAGGAGUACGGGCUGCUGCAGAGGCGGCUGGAGAACAUGGAAAACCUGCUGAGGAACAGGAACUUCUGGGUCCUGCGGCUGCCCCCGGGCAGCAAGGGGGAGGCCCCCAAGGUGUCCAGGUCACUUGAAAAUGAUGGAGUCUGUUUUUCAGAGCAGGAGUGGGAGAAUCUGGAGGACUGGCAGAAGGAGCUUUACCGGAAUGUGAUGAAGAGCAACUAUGAGACUCUGGUCUCUCUGAAGGUCCUUGGCCAGCCAGAAGAAGAAGUGGAGUUGGGGACAGAGAUGCUGGGUGACUUGGAGGAGGAAGGCCCUGGUGGUGUCCACCAAGCAGAAGGGAUUAUGAUCAAGCAGGAGGUACAGUACACUCAGGAAGGCUCUGUGGAUCUUCCCGGAGAGUUCUCGGGCAUUGCUGAAGAGCAGGCUUUCCUGAGCCCGGAGCAGGCUGAGCUCUGGGAUGGUCAGGGCAGUUCUGUCCUCUUGGAAUUAGGUCCUGGGAACACUAAUCUAGAGGAGCCCAUUGGGGGCAGUAGAGACCCUAGCAGUGGCAGAACUCUGGGCUGCCCCCAGAAGCAGAAGUCUAAUGGGCAGGUGCAACUGGGUCAGGAAUGUGGGCAGGGCUUGAAGCUGGAAAGGGACACUUCUGGCCCCUAUGAAUGUUCUGAGUGCGAGAUCGGCUUCCGCUGUAAGCAGCAGCUGGCCACACAUCUGCAGACCCACUCAGGGUGGGAGUCUUACUCAGCCUCAGAGCCGGAGGAGAGCUUUAGGCCCAGGCCACGGCUUAAGCCCCAGUCCAGGAAGGCAAAGCUGCAUCAGUGUGCCGUGUGCAUGAGGAGCUUCAGCUGCAGGGUGAGCCUAGUGACCCACCAGCGCUGCCACUUGCAGGAGGGACCCAGUGGUGGCCAUCGUGUCCAGGAGAGGUUCUCGCCCAACAGCCUGGUUGCCCUUCCUGGCCACAUCCCUUGGAGGAAAAGCCGGAGUUCCCUCAUCUGUGGUUACUGUGGCAAGAGCUUCAGCCACCCGUCUGACCUGGUGCGGCACCAGCGCAUCCACACAGGCGAGAGGCCCUACAGCUGCACCGAGUGCGAGAAGAGCUUUGUCCAGAAGCAGCACCUCCUGCAGCACCAGAAGAUCCACCAGCGGGAGCGGGGCGGGCUGGCCCCAGAGCCUGGAGGGGCCAGUGGCCUGCUUUAAGGGUGCCAGCCCCUUACCCGUCCAGGGGCGGAGGGGGCUGGCAUUGGUCCCCCUGAAGAGACACUGUGCAGAGUCAGGGCCUGACUUCUUCCUGGGAGGAGUCACUUUGAUUUGCCUUCUCGUGACCAAGCACCGAGCCCAAAGGCUCCUUAAAACCAUGUGGAAGAGGAAGAGUCUGGGCCAGGCGUCUCCCUGCUGUCUUUACCCUGCUGCUGUUUGCUGUCUCUUUGGCACCUUCAUGUGUCUGAUUUUCCGUCUGUGCUGGGUCUCCUGGGCUGUAGUUGGCUCUCUGACCCCACUGGGACUGGUGGCUAGUUCCACGCAUUUCUGAAUGUCCCAGCAUUUCAGGUCUUCCCACGAGGUUGAGUCGGCCAAAGGAAUGAGCAGGAAUACCCUGCUGGGGCCAAGGUGGAGGAGGUGCCUGAUGUGGAGCAGUGACAGCCUGACCUGCAUUCUUAAGCCUAGGACAGAUGAGAAGAGGGCGUGUAUGGGAAGAUUCAUGGGACCCUCUUUGUGGUGCUCGAGGGCUGCAGGCAGUCUGGGUGUCGGUUGGUGGAAGGUGGGAGGUAGAGAGGGCCGGUAAAAUAUGGUGGGUGCACCCGGAAGUACUGGGUAGCGUUAGGAAUAUUGGCUUAGAUGUGCGUGUGGCCACGUGGGUCAGUCUUGAACGUACAAAGCUGAGUGGGAAAUGUAAGAAAUUGGAUGAUAUCUAUAACAAUACCAUUUAUGUAAAUUUAAAAUGCACGUACACGAAACAAAACAAUUUGUAGGGACACAGAAACCAAAAGAUACACAUUAAAGGCAUUACAAUUGCCCAUGGGAAGAGUCAGUGGGAUAUGAGGAUAAAAAGGAACAAAUUAAAUAAAUAAAUAGAUAAAAAUAAACUCAGGUCGAUGUAAGGCAUGGGAUUGUCUUGUUCCAGAAAUUGAACAUGGAGGGAAGUUGUCAUAAGCAGAUGCUGUGCGAGGCACUCAACCUCGUUACAUGCAGGAAACCAGCUGCUUUCCUAAAUUCCUUCUACAAUCUCCUUCUGCCCCCAAGCCUUUGCCUUAUAGAUACCUCUGCAAGGCGCUGUUUUAAAUUCUUUACAUAAAAACAAACGUACUCCUCACAUGACCCUAUGUGGUAGUACCAUCAUUACCCCAUUUUGCAUGAGUUGUGGAAGAGACCUGAGAAGUGAAGUAAUAGGCAGAGGUGGCCAUAAACCUAGAUCAGUCUUGCUUCAGAGCCCACACACUUGACCAUGGGUGCUGUUGCUUCUGGUUGACCACCAUUAAGUACCUCGUGUCCUGGCUGGAUUCUAAGUCCUUGUUACCCAAAGUGUGGUCUCUGCACCAGCAGCAUCAGCAUCCCCUGGGAGCUUGGUAGAAAUGCAGUCUCUGAGACCCACUGAAUCAGAAUCUGCAUUUUAACAAAACCUUGGUCAUCCUUUGCACACAGAGGCACUGUUUUAAGUGAUAGGCAAAAUCAGCCUCUUGCCUGUUUCACCUGUCCACUGAAAGCCUGCUCUGCCAGGCACUGAGAAGAAAAUAGGAAAUGGAACUGUGUGAAGGACAGGGACGAUCAAGUGAGGUUUAAAUCAACACCUAGGGAAGAAUUAAAUGCCAAACAUUAGUGACUCUAAGCUGCCCUAUCUCCUUCCUUUUCCUACAGGUGAGGUUCCAGUCAUUACCUACCUGACUCCUGAAUAACCUACCUGGUCUCCUAGCCCUAGUCACAUCCUUUUUGCUGCCAGAGUUCUUGUCCUGGAACACAAAUUGGACAUGGGCUUUCCUCAAAGCCUUGCAAUACAUUCAGCUGGCUGCUGAUGAAGAGCAAGCUUUCAGUGUAGAACUCAAGACUUCAACAACCUAACCUACUCUGUUCCUUCACCUUUCACUCUUUCUAAAUUAUCUAUGCUGCUGCCACAUUGGGCUUCCUGUCACGUAGUGAACAGGCUGUUCUCUCCCACCUUCACGUUGAGCUCGUGCUUCCGCUUUCCCACGAAUGCCCUUUGUGACCCACAUACUGUGUUUCACUGCUGGGUUUAUGUGCCCCUUCUUCGAAAGCUUCGCUCGUCCAUUUCUUUCAUUCAACAAACACGUAUUGAGCACCUGUUAUCCAGGCACUCUUUUAAAUACUUGGGGUACGUCAGCGUAAAAAACAGACAUCUUUGCUCUAGUUGAGUUUAUGUUCUACCAAAAGCAGUUUUCUUCCCAUCCUGCACAUUUGCACAGCCCUUUCCUAGCCUAGCACAAUAUUCCAUUCUGGCUAGAGUUUGUUCAGUCCCCAAUAUCCGAGCAGCAUCCAUCUGUGAAGUCUACAGAGGGAUACCAGGUGAAAUCAGCUUGCUCUUGAGCUUACAGGCUGUUAAGGGAAUCUAAUACAAAUUGGAAAAUUAUAUAUCUCAGAGAACAAUUACAUUUAGUUGUAGGACAUUGGGGAUGGCUUUAGGAGAGAUGACUUUUGAACUGGACCUUUAAGGAUGCAAAGAAGGACAUUCUAAAUGGAGUGACAUAACCAAAAUAGAAGACAUUAUGGGCCUAUACAAAUACC